UACGUAGGGUGCAAGCGUUGUCCGGAUUUACUGGGCGUAAAGAGCGUGUAGGCGGCCACGCAGGUCCGUUGUGAAAACUGGAGGCUCAACCUCCAGCUGUCGACGGAAACCGUGUGGCUAGAGUCCGGAAGAGGAGAGUGGAAUUCCUGGUGUAGCGGUGAAAUGCGUAGAUAUCGUAAGGAAGACCAGUGGCGAAGGCGGGUCUCUGGACAGUUCCUGACGCUGAGGCACGAAGGUCAGGGGAGCAAACGGG
rnacentral:rRNA from 1 species